AAUGAGGUGGAAUUGGUGGAUUCUUUGGUUGCCAGAGAUUGCAUGCAGAGAAGCAAAAAGAAUUUCUUUUCUCUUGAAGAUUUCUCUUCUCUUUUAACUUGAUCAUCAUCAAAGCUCCUUGCCCCUUCUGCUGUGAUUUCUUGUUCCCAAAAAAUUUUUAAAUUUUUUAUAUUGUUGUUCUCCCUCCCUUCUUUUUUAUUGAAAUGAGCUCUCUUGAUUAUCCCAAUUUUAAGUAAGUUGUUUCUUGGGCACUUAUCAUGUAUUAUUGUUGGUGUUUCUUGCCAGUGGUGUUAUUAGUGUGGUCAUGUGCAUCACUAGCUCAUUUCCAUAUAGUGCCAUUCACUGUUCACUUGUUAUAUUGCUCUAGGUUUAGCCCU
rnacentral:sRNA from 1 species